GGUUUCUGGAACAGGUGCUGGCGAUGGCAUGAGAGGGAACAACGGAGGAGAAAAGGUGCCUGAAAUGUGAGCAGGCACAGAUGUGGGCUGCUGAGCUGGAAAAGGAGAGACAGGAAACAGACUGGAUGGCAGAGGAAAGGAUGAUGACAUAGCUCAGCAGUCACUAACACCAGAGAACUGCUCAGUUUUGGCUUUUGGAAGUACUGAGGAUUGAAGUUUGGACCUUUGGUGCCUUAGCCACCAGGUUCCAGAUGCUACCAUGAUGCCAACUGGACUUCCCUGGGCAGACGACCUCACCAAUGUGUCCUGGAACCCUGCUUCCUCAGAGCCCUGCCCCACUAGGGAAAGAGAGAGGCAGGCUGGGAAUAUGGAUCGACCUGUCAACGCCCAUGUUCAGCAGGGAAGCAAUUACAGAAGCCAGACCUCCCACCUUCUGCACCCCAUGAUGACCCUGGGUCCAUACUCCCAGAGAAAUAAAGAAUAGAAAAGCUAUCAAGGGAGGGGAUGGGAUAUGGAGUUCUGGUGGUGGGAAUUAUACCCCUCUUAUCCUAUGGCUUUUGUCAAUGUUUCCUUUUCUAUAAAUAAAAAUAAUAAUAAAAAAGAAUGAAUAUAUCAAUGGAUGAGUGAAUGAAUGAACACACCAAGGCCUUUUCUAUCUCUAAUGGUCUUCUUGCUAUCAGAGAAUUCCUGCUAAUGGUGUAAAAAAAAAAAAAGAAAAAGAAAAGAAAGGGAGAGGGGGGUGGAGAAAGAGAGAAAUGGAGAGAGAAGAGGAAAGACCUGUUUCACUAUUCCACUACUGGUGAUGUUUCCCCCCCACACUGCUACCCCCCCACAAGUACAAACCAGAGACUUGAACCCAGGUCCUUGCACAUGGUAAUCAGAUGAGCCAGCACCCAGCCCCAAGAGUGACUUUCUACAGGGGCACUGCUACAUGAGGCUGGGCAGUGUACACCCAGUAGAGCUCACACAUUACCAUGCACAAGGGCCUACAUUCAGACCCCAGUUUCCACCUUUAGGGGAGAAACUUCACUAGCACUGAAGCAGGCCUGUCUCUCCUUCUCUCUUCCUCUUUAUCUCCCCUUUAUGUCUCAAUUUCUCUUUGUCCUGCCAACUAAAAUAAAAGGAAAAAAAAAAAAGGAAAAAUCUACCACCAGGAGUUGCUGUGCAGCCACCUAACCCCAGCAAUAACCCUGGUGACCAUAUUAAAAAAAUUACCAAAAUAAAAAAAUAAAAGGGGCACUGUUGUAGUAGCUGCACUCCUGACUGGUAAGGGCUGCUUAUAAAGAAGCGAGAAGAGUAGGGCUGUCAGAGUCUCAAAGU